rnacentral:rRNA from 1 species
UGGGGAAUCUUAGACAAUGGGGGAAACCCUGAUCUAGCCAUGCCGCGUGAUCGAUGAAGGCCUUAGGGUUGUAAAGAUCUUUCAGAUGGGAAGAUAAUGACGGUACCAUCAGAAGAAGCCCCGGCUAACUCCGUGCCAGCAGCCGCGGUAAUACGGAGGGGGCUAGCGUUAUUCGGAAUUACUGGGCGUAAAGCGCACGUAGGCGGAUUAGAAAGUCAGAGGUGAAAUCCCAGGGCUCAACCUUGGAACUGCCUUUGAAACUCCUAGUCUUGAGGUCGAGAGAGGUGAGUGGAAUUCCGAGUGUAGAGGUGAAAUUCGUAGAUAUUCGGAGGAACACCAGUGGCGAAGGCGGCUCACUGGCUCGAUACUGACGCUGAGGUGCGAAAGCGUGGGGAGCAAACA